rnacentral:lncRNA from 1 species
CUUCUUCAAGAAUCUUCUUGAUCAUCCCUUUAAGACCUAAAACAGGAAUCGGUUCUUUAGCGAAGUCUGAUUUGGCUUUGAAGUAAACUUCUCCAAGAGGUGACUUUGCUUGAAGCAAAACCUCAGGAGGAGGAGGAGUGGUAGUUGAGAAUCCAGAGCUGUACAUGAUGGAUUCAAUCCAGUUCAUUUCUAUACAAUCCUCCAGAGUUAGCCCUAGUUCUGGAAAACCCUUGCUCAUUACCUCCAUCAAGUUGCCUUUCUCGCCAAGAAACUGACCUAUGUAUGACAUGGCCACAGUUCUGUUUUCAUUGUUUCCAGCUAUGGUGAAGAACACGCGUAAGAAGAGCUCUUCAACGAGCUUGUCCGCAACUUGUUGCCACUUUGAAAGAAUCUUGAAUCCUGCGUCUUGGUCUAGUGUUUUGGUGACCGUGAAGACAGUUAGGGUUUGAGGAACAAGAACAAGCUUGAUCUUCCAUGACAAAAUUAUCCCGAAACUCCCUCCUGCGCCUCCUCUAAUCGCCCAAAACAUAUCCUCUCCCAUCGUGGUUCUGUCUAGUAACUUGCCGUUAGCAUCAACUAUCUUUGCGUCUAGAACAUUUUCAGCAGCAAGACCAUACUUUCUCAUCAAGGAACCGUAUGCACCGCCUGUUAUAUGCCCACCAAUGCCUAAGUUCGGGUAUAUACCUGCAGGGCAUCCAUGAAUCUUGCUCUUCUCUGAAAUUCUACAGUUAACAAGCCAAAGAUUCUAUAGUCAAAUAUUGUUUACUCUUGUGUGUGAUUGUUUGGUUGCGUUUUGUCAUUGCAUAUUGUGAAGUCAAAACAUAAGAGUUUUAAGUAUUUAGAAAACGUUAAAAUAACUCGUUCAAAAAAACGUUAAAUUAACAUAAUUCAACCUAUGUUUUAGUUUAUAUAUUUUUUACUUUAUUUUCUAGUUUUUUUAUUAAAUUCAGAUCUGAAAUCAAACCUUUAGUUUAUCAAUGUAAUAUCGAAAUAGAACAUGAUUUUAGCUACGCGUCUAAAAAAAAAUUAGGUGUACAAGAUUUUGAUGAUAUUAUUAACCAAUAAUCAAUAAUCCAAAGUUUUGAGUAAGACAAAUAGUAGAUAAACCUUUUUCGGUAAUUCAGGAAUAUAAUAUUUUCUAGCAAAUUUUCAUAAUAUAUAAACGCAAACACAUAAAUAAAUUCAGUAACAAAAAAAACAUAAAUAAAUUUGUGUUUAAAACAAAACGAGAUUUACCUGUAGUAAAGCUCACCGACUGUAGCACCAGCUUGAACCCAAACACUAUUGUCUUCAAUAUCAACAUUGACCUGUCUCAGUUUCGACAGAUCAAUAAUUAUAAACGGUGUUUCUAUAUGUGAAACAUAGGACAAGCCUUCAAAAUCGUGACCGCCGCUUCUAACACGGAGAUGAAUUCCCAGUUUCUUGGAACAUAUGAUGGAAGCUUGGACGUGAGACUCAUGAACCGGUUUGAAUAUGAAAUCUGGUUUAGGCAUUGAUGUGGUCAAGUAUCGUUGAUUUUGAGCCGUCGAGUUAAGGACUUCAAUGAACAUCGAGGCGUUCCUAUCAGGAGUGAAGAAUGUUUUGUCCAGUGGAAAAUCGACAUUUGUGUUUUGGUGGAGACAAUUGAUGAAGUCAUCUUGUAAGGAGUUUGAAGAAGUUGAUGCUACUGUGUAGAAAGAAAAAUAUAGGGCUAAAAACGAUAUAUAAGAAACUGCAGGGGCUAAUUUUGAAACUCUCAUCCCUGCAACUAAAAGCAGAAUCUGCGAGAACAAGAUGGAAAUGGAUGUAUGUUGCGAGUUUUCUUUUGUCAGUGAAUAAACUUAUAUAAGAGAUUGUGAUCAAAUUGUGUGAUUUAUUUUUAUCAAAAAAAAAUUGACCGUCUUAAAAAAAUUAAUGGCCGAACAUAAAAUAGAGACCUUUUUUAAAAAAAAAAUCUCAGGUUUUUGUAUUGCAUUUCCUUAAACUGAAGCAAAAGAAAUUUGUGGUAUUCAAAGAAAAAAAAAUUAAAAAAAUGGGCCUUAAUGUUAAACCAGGUUUUGUCAAUGGAAAAAUUGAGAAUGGGGAAGCUUAAAAUAAAUUUUGGUGUCUUUUUGUAUUUAAAAUAGGUUUAUCAUGGAUCAUUUUGUUAUAAUUUCACUAACUAGUUAAAAAAUUAUCAAACUAAAAUUGGUUUUUGUAGCUAAUAAAAUAAAACUAAAAACUUUUUUAGACCUAUGGAUCUAUGGCAAUUGCUUAUGUCGCCGUAGCCUAGAACCGGGACUGGUGAUUAUUACAAGAUUCAAAUUCAAAGGUUAUGUCUACAUCGACUACGACUAUUUUGUCACAUCAGUCACAUGAUGUGACAAAAAACAGUAGGUUCAGUAACAUCUUAACAACGUGACAAUUAAACGACCCUUUUGCAUAACUCUGUUAACUUGCGUAGUAUAGUUAGAAGGGAAGUUGAAGAAAUUAGUAUUAUUGUGUAUAUAAAAGAAAAUACAGACCUAAGAACAGAUUACAAGAAAAUGAAUGGAGUGGUUCUAAAAUGCCCAUCCCUUAGAAAAAAGCCAAAAAAACCACAAUUAGGCUUCAAGAUGGAAAUGAAUGUCAAUUGUUUUUUUUGUCAAUGAAGAAUACCAUGACAUAGGAAACCUAUGUUUCCAACCUGUGUCAUGGUAUUCUUUGGUUUAGGGUUUGGUAACAUAGGUUGUAGUGUGUUUGUAUUUUAGGAUUAGAUUUUGGAAGCUUAACUUUUUUUGAAAAGUUAAAAUUUGACCUAUAUGUUUUUAGUUUUGUGUAUAAUAAACACUUUUAAAGUUGAUUUUAAGUAUGAAAUGAUUUAGUUAGUUAUUUGAGUUUAGGGUUUUUAAACUAGUAUAUUUAAGUCUUGUGGAAAAUAGUAUAUUUAGGGGUUAGAAGUCUUCUUGUAUAUAUAUGUUAGAAUAUAUAGGAACCGAACCUUAAAUUUUACCAAAUUACAUUAAACCUAACCUGAUUGUUUACCAGAGAUAUAAAUAGUAUUUUUCAUUUUUUUGUUGAUAAAAGCAAGAAACUAUAGCCGUUUGUUUCUCUUCGAAAUCGCCAAUUAUAAUUUUAACAUAUUUAAAAUAUUUGUUUAAAGUUAUUUUUAAUAAAUAUUCUUUUGAAAAUAUAGAAAAAUAAAUUUAGUUAAAUACAUUUAUAUUUAAAUUUUGGUUUGUCAAAGUUAAUAUCAUUUUAUUCGUCAAAGCAAAUCAAUCAAACUUACACUUCUAUACAUAUACGAUCUAAUGGAACCAAAUCGUUUUAAGUUGUUUCUCUUAACACUGGGUAUUCAUUAGACUAUGGGCCUGACUGGUUUAAACGCAGUGGUUGCGGUUGCGGUUGCGGGAGUUUGUGGAUGCGGGCGGUUGCGGUUUCUAGCGGUUUUAAGAGAUUUGUACGACUGGUACUGCGGUUAAAAAUUGGUGCGUUUGCGGGUGACUUAUGACUGGUUAACUACCAAAUGCGGUAACAGUUAAAUCAUAAAUUAACAAUAUUUACAUUUAAUAUAAUUAUAAAAAUAUCAAAAAUCAUAAAAUUACAAUAAAUAUAAAAUUUAUAUUUAUAAAGUUAUAAUUUUAAUUUUUGAAAAUUUAUUGAAAUUAUUUUUACUAUAAAAUUUUAUAAUAUUAAUUAAAAUAUAAUAGAUAUAUUUUAAUAUUUUCAUAAUUUCAAUUUUACAUUUUUUAUUAAAUAUUUUUACUUUUGUAUAUAUAUUGUUUUAAAAAAAAGAAAAAAAUUUUACUCUCCCGCAACCCCCCGCAACCGCAAACGCUAGCUGGAGCCAGCUUUUGAAUUUAUGAGAUUCGAAGCGGUUUGAAACGGUUUAGAGCGAUUUGAGUGAUUGUUGCAAACCGCCGACAACCGCUACCAACCGCAAAAGUUGUGUUUGCGGGUGGUAUCGGGAAAACCAGUCACCCCAUAUAUAGGCAAAGAAAAUUAUAUAAGAACAUCAAAUCCAUUAAAAAAAAACUGAUACUAGUCAAAGAGGAAGCAAUACUCGAGAAUAAAGAAAAGCAAGAGGAUAAGGUUUCCACAAAGAGGAUUCAAUUCACGAGAAAGAGAUUAGGAUACCAGGGGCUACACUACGUUAGGUAAGGCCGUAAGGGUGGGCAGCUGCCAACCAUGGACUUUUAAAAUCAGUGUAUUUGUGUACUAAUUUUUACUAAUGUCCCGGUUAAUAAUCGAAAUUUAUAAAUAUAUUUAAUAGUGUUGUAUGUGUCUGCCCUAGAUGAAAAUUAUUGCUUGAUCCGCCACUGGGGAUGCCGUGUCUAGAGACCACAUGGUACUUGUGAGAAGGUGUCCACAAACCGUGACACAUAUACAAUAGCCGGUGGAAGCCGCAUUUGAUUCUGCCUUGAUCAUGUCUUGCAACCUGCGUGGACCAUUGCAGCGACAUACGACUAGUAACAAUGGUCACCAGUGACAGGUUCUGCUAUUUCGAUAGAUACCUUGUCGCUUUCGGGAUGUGUGAGCCCUAAGUGUAAACCCUUGUCUCUAGCAUUUCCAUUCAAUCAUAACAACAAUCUCAUUUCGGUUUAAUAUUUCAUUUAUUCAAAAGAAACAUCUUACAUUUUGUUUAAUUUUAAUAGAAAAUCGAAUAAAAUAAUUAUGAAGUCUUCAAUAUUAUACAUUUAGUUCUACUCGCAUCCACAAAUUCUAACAACUGCUCAUGCCCUUAGUCCUAAAACAAAUGUCACAACGACCUAACUGAAUACAAUAAAUCGGAAAACGGUAAAGAAGAAAGUACUGAAAACAUUAACUCUUGCACCACGCUCAAGAUCAUAAAUUCACCUUUUCUUGGAUUCGAAACCAAAUCUCCUUGUUAAAAAACAUUAACCAAUCCUUAGUCAAACAAUUUGAUUAAGGGAUUACACCGAAUAUGUUUUCUGUUAUUGAUUAUAGUUUUAUAUAGAAGAGUGAAUUGGCUCAAAAUACAUAAAACAUCUUAUGUUUUAUACAUAUGUGGCGGUAUAAACCAUAAACACUAACUACGUUAAGAGAAGUACAAAACGAAUAUAUAAGCCCAAAUUGUGAAGGACAUAAGCCCAAGAUAUGUGUUACACAAGACGACUGGUGUGUGUAACACAAUGAUAGUCCACUCGAACCAAACUUUAACAAAUUGAGAACGAGAACAAGCUUUCGAUUACGAUUCUAGUGUAGUAAAGUUGAUCAAGGAACUGGGAACUAAUUAAAAACAACUUGUCUGACUCAUAAGAAGCCACGCUUCAAAUUUUAGGUAAAACAAAGUGCUACAGACUUGCCUUAACUUUGUUAGAAGAAACAUUAUCUGAUUUCUUCUAGUUUAUUCUAAUUUGAUAUUCUUGAGCUUCAGUUUUGAACCAGCAUAGGUGGGAUACUCUGUUCAUGUCUGAAGAAAUUAUUUGGAUCAACCUUUGUUUUAACCUUCACCAACCUUUCGAAAUUUCCUUUGAAGUAACUAGCUCCCAAGACUUGAGCUUGGUUGAUGGUCGACUUACAGCCCUUUUUGUUCUGUCCCAGGUCUAGAUCACGGUAGUUGACGUAGGCUUGUCGUGGAUUCGCCGAGACAUAAGGAGUCAUGAAACUGUAGAUAUCUCUGAUCCAUUUGAUGUGCCUGCUUGCUAUCAUGUCACUGUCUGGCCAAUUCGUUACGUAAUGAAUCUUGAAUAUGACUCCUUUCCUAUGCGGAAACGGGAUCUGUGAUUCAGGGGUUUUCGCCAUCAUUCCUCCGUAAGGAUUCCAUAUCAUCAUUGGAUUAUCUUCUUUAAGCAACUUCUUGAAGAUCCCUUUAAGCCCUGACUCAGGAAUAGGCUUCUUCACGAAGUCGGAUUUGGCUUUGAAGUUGUUCUUUGGGAAAGCUGACUUCCCUUGAAGCAAUACCUUGGUAGGAGUGCGGCUCGCGAAUCCAGAGAUGUAAACAAUGGAUUCAAGCCAGCUCAUUUCGGUACAAUCUUUCGGCAUUAGACCUAGCUCCGGAAAGCUCUUGUUCAUAACUUUCAUCAACACACCUUUGUUGCCAAGAAACACAGUGUUAUACGACGUCGUGGCGGUCUUGCUUCCGUUGUUUGCAGCUACGUUGAAGAUCACUCGGAUGAAUAGCUCGUCGACAAGCUUGUCCGCGACCAUUUGCCACUUUGAAAGAAUCUUGUUUCCAGGGUCUUGUUGUAACGUUUUGGUGACGGUGAAGACGGUUACCGUGUUAGGAACAGGAACAAGCUUGAUCUUCCAUUCUAGAAUUAUCCUGAAACUGCCUCCAGCGCCUCCUCCAAUGGCCCAAAACAUAUCCUCGCCCAUCCCUUUUCGGUCUAGUAUUUUACCGUUGGCGUCGACGAUCUUUGUGUCUAGAACGUUAUCUGCACCGAGACCAUAUUUCCUCAUCAUGGAACCGUAUGCACCGCCGGUUAUGUGCCCGACUAUUCCUAAGCUGGAGCACAAACCGGCCGGAAAACUAUGGACUCUGCUCUUCUCUGCAAUCCUACAGGUAACAAAAAAAGUUUCUUGAUCAAAUAUACAGUCAAAAGAUAGAUCCUAGCGUCACAAUUCCAUUUUUGUCUAAAUUUCGGAAUAAACUGCUCUUUAGAUGCUAUAUUUUCUUAGUGAUCCUUCUUAAUAGUGAAAAUUUAUUUGUUGUCUUUCUAUUUACCUGUAGUAAAGUUAACCAACUGUAGCACUAGCUUGAACCCAAGCACUAUUGUCUUUAAUAUUAAUGUUGACUUUUCUCUGCUUGGACAGGUCCAGCACUAUAAAAGGUUUUUCGAUCUCCGAGACAUAAGACAAGCCUUCGUAGUCGUGACCGCCGCUUAUGACGCGCACAUGAGUUCCAAGUUUCUUGGAACAGAUGAUGGAAGCUUGGACGUGAGACUCGUGGAGCGGUUUGAAUAUGAAUCCCGGUUUAGGCAUGGACUUUGUCAAGUACCGGAGAUUCUGAGCUGUGGACUGAAGGACUUCGCUGAACAUGGAAACGUUUUUGGCAAGAGCGAAAAACGUACUUUCGAGUGGGAAAGAAACAUGCGUGUUUUUAUGGAGACAGUUUAUGAAUUGAUCUUGGAGGGAAGCUGAAGAAGUUGUUGGUGUGAUAGUGUAGAAUGAGAAAUAUAAGGCGAAAAUCAAAAGAAAAGAAAAUGCAGGGGAUGGUUUUGAAAUUCCCAUUUCUCUCUUUAAGGAAGCUCUGCUCUAUUGUUUGAUCCCAAUCUGCAAAAAUUUAGUCUAUAACUAUAUGUACUAGAUGCAUUGCUCUCGCGCAAGCGCGGGGUUGUGGACAUAGUUCUUGUUUCAUCUCAAUAUUUGCUAAGGUUAUUGUAGUUGUGAAUUUUGCGUUUUGAAUUGUUUUUCAAGUUUUUUUAUUGUUAUAGGGUUAGAGUUGUGAUGAUGAACUGUGUAUACAUUAUUCUCCACUUAUGAAGGACUAAACUGUGUUAGUAAUGUGAUUGAUAUAGUUCAUGUUGUUGUUUGCUGUGUCACUGAAACUUAUUGUUUGUUUGUCUUUUUAAUUUGUUUCUUGUACUAUUGAGAGUACAUAAAUUAUAUUAAAGUUGUUGAGAAUACCUUUUGUUUUUGGAUAUUUUUUUCUCCAGUUUAGUUGUGUAAGUUGUGUGUAUUAAGUAAUAAUUUUUAUUAUUCUUAAUAUGUUUGUUAUAUGUUUUUAUUUUAUUUUUAAACUUAUUGCUCUUACUGGACCUUUAAAACAAAUACAUUAAGAUUUAUAGAAAUAACUAUAAAAUGAGUGACAGUUCUGAGUAUUUGGGUUUUAAUGAGUUUUAAACGAAUUUAUGUAUUUUUCAUAAGAAGGCAAUAGCUUUGGCCUGUUGACAUUGGGCAUGUAAGCUAUUUUUAUAAGACAAGAGGAGUGAGCAGGUGGAGCUGUUGUUACCGCCUUUGUGUAUGUCGGGUUUGUCUCUUGUAUCUCCAGUUGUGGCUGUGUUUGUUUAUCUUUUAUUUGAUGGCUAAUAUGUAAACAAAAAUCAUUGUUAGUUGUAUUUAUCAGAGUUUAUAACUUAUUCUGCUUUUUUUUGUUUAGGUAAUUUCACUGAUCUUGGUUGUCGUUUUCGUCUUCUUCGUUGCAAAAGUAAGUUUGUAAAUUGUUAAAUAGCUGGCCAUGUAGUUUGUAUUUGUUUAGCUGACUCGAUGUAUGUGUCGUUACGAAACUCAGUUUGUAAAUUGUUAAAUAGCUGGCCGUGUAGUUUGUAUUUAUUUAGCUGACUCGAUGUAUGUGUCGUUGAGUUUUAGUUGAGGUGAUUGGUUUGGUAUAUUUGUUUUGAAGUUUAUUUUUAAGAUUAGACAAAAAAGAGAGGUGAUCAUUAAUGAUUAGUCUUUUUUGGAAUUCUAGUUUUUGGUGUUUUGAUUGUUUGGGUUGUUGUGGUUUCUUUUAAGUUAUAAAAUAAAGGUCUGUGUAAAAUUAGUUUGAUAAGUAAGGGAGAUAAAUAGACGACCACAAAAUUUGGGUAGAAAAUAUUUUUGAUUAUUGAUGUUAGCACAAUAUAGAUAAUAAUAUAAAGAGAAUUGUUUCUUACGGAUCAAUGAGAAGACGGAUAACGACUCGAGUUGUUUCUUGGCUAAGGUCAGAGCCUUGGAUAGAUUAGAUUUUUCCAACUACAUCUGCGAGUUUAAAUAUCAGUUAUGAGAACGAAACAUAUUAUAAACACAGAUGCAAUAUGAUAAUAUAUCUGGGAGUUCUAGGUUUGUGUUCGCAAUCACUUGGAAAUUGUCAAACAGUCUAAUAAUGAUAGGAGAUUGAUCUCAGGAGUACCCGUGAUGACAUUAUAAACAAUAGUUGGUUAUAUGAAACGAAUGAGGAAUGAAUGAUCAAUGAUUAGCACGAGCACCUAGCAACUUCAAAACGAUAGACUUUCAUAAUGGAACCGGCUUUCAAAGAAGGCAUGUAAUGAUUAGCACGACUGGCAAAAAUAAACCCAUGAAUCACAGAAUCUGCAAAUAAUAUUAUUUAACAAAGAAUCAGGAAAUCAAUUAAAAAAUUAUAUUAAAUAGUGUGAAAAAUCGUAGAUUAACUUACCUUUUCAUCAAGGAAGAGAACCGUGAAUCCCAUAAAUUCACUGUCUUUCUUGAAGUUCAAGGAAUCCCAUAAGCGACGAGGUUAGAGGCUAUAUGCUCUGACUUUACAACCAACACUGAGAGAUUCGAAGGUUGAGUGACGAAUGCCGGAAAUGCUGGUUUGAGGAACUGGAGAGGCAGAGAGACAUUUUCUGGAAGAUCGUUAAAGCUAAGAGGAAUCAAUGAGUUUUGUGGAGAUGCAGAUUGGGUUCAUCAAAGAUGAGAAUCAUAUAUACAUAGGACUUACAUAAAGACUACAAAUCAGGAACAUUUAAGAUCAAGCAACUUAAGAUGGGGGGAUGAAGAGUUCACCGGUGAAAAAAUAGAUUACUAACAAACACACAGCGCAAUUCUGUAACUCAGACUUGUCUAAGACAAUAAUGAAAAGAACCAUAACUCAUGUUAAACGAAGACAGUUUUCAUGUUAAACGAAGACAUUUUACAAUAUGGAAAAAAUAUAAUUGUAGUUUUUUUCAUAUAACGUGAUGAACCUCAUUUAAAAUGAAACUCAUAAUACACUUGUAGGCCUAGCCCACAGAGAAAACCGAAGAAGUAAAGGUUUCCGACCUUCAUAAAUAUAUAUUAGUUUCAGCCAUCAAUGUACAAUGUAUCCUUUAGUUUAGUGGUAUAAAUGUUGGUGUUUAUAUCUCAAUAACCCAGGUUCGAACCAGAGGCUUGACACUUUUUCACCUUUUUUAAAAGUGAAACCCACCAAAAUGCUGACGUGUCGUCUCAGGAAAGAGGAAACUGCCUCAUUAUAUUAUAGAUUUUGACAAUAUUUUUCAAAGCAAUGUCAUUUUUAAGAUGAAAAGACAUUUUUUAGGAUCAAAAGUUACAACUUUUGACAUUUAUUCGGAGAAAUUUACAUGUUUACACAUUUUGAUAACUUAUUUUUAACAAAUGCAAUUUUUAGGACCAAAAGACACAUCUUUGUACAAUUUAACAAUUUUUUUAAACCAAUGCAACUCUUAGAUGAAAAGAACAUUAUUAAGAAAAUAUAAAUUUAUACAUUUUUAAAAAUAUGUUUUUUAAAUAAUGCAACUUUUAAAAUGAAAAGACACAUUUUUACAGUGAAAAGACACAACCUUUAACAUUAAUUUGGAUUCCUAUUAUUAAUAGACAGGAAAAUGACUAUUUAUUUAAAUAUGUAUAUUUUCUCCUAGUUUUAUAAGUUAUAUUUAAACAUAUACAUAUAUAUAUAUAUAUAUAUAUUUUUUUUUUUUGAUAAAUUUCAGUUUUUUUUUAUUUUCGUUCAGAUAUGUUAAAUUGGUAAAAAUCAAUAUGUUAAUUUUCUUAAUGAGCCGAUAAAUUUAAAUAAAAUUCUAGUCAACUCAUUAUAUAUCAACUAAAAAUAUAUUUGGUUAGUAUUGUUUUAGUUUUAUAUUUGUAGGGCACACUUACGAAUAAUUUAAUUAUAUAUAUAAAUAUAUGUAUAUAUAUAACAGUUUUUUAGAAACAUAAAUAAAAAGUCAAUUAUUACUAUAUUUUAAAAAAUUUGACAAAUAUAAAAUUUUAAAAUAAAUUUACACUAAUGGUUGAUAUAUAAAUUAUUAAUUAUUACCUUAUUUAAAAAUCUUGAAUUAAACAUUUAUGAAAGGAAAUUAUACAUGUCAUCGUCAAGUGAUGCCAUGUCAUAAUUUCUUAAACCGUGUUAUCUUUUUAGUGAAAAAAUGUGCUGAUGACGUAUGUCAUAAUCACUUUUUAAAUAAUGUAUAAAAUAUUUUUCGAGAUUGUCUGAAAUAAAGGAAGAAAAAGAAACAUUGUUCCAUUUAUUCGAGCUUAUUGUAUGAUGAUACUUAUUUAAAGGGUAUUAUAUAUCACCAGCUUAGCUUCAAUAAAGAAGUGGGACGCUUUGUUCGUGUCUAAACAAGUUUUCUGGAUGAGCCUUUGUUUUAAUCUUCACCAAUCUGUUGAAAUUGUCUUUGAAGUACUUUGCUCCCCAGACUUGAGCUUGUUUGAGGCUUGUCCUUGAGUUGUUGCUGUUCUGUCCCAGGUCUAGAUCUCUGUAGUUCACAUAUGCUUGUCUUGGGUUACUUGAGACAUAAGGCGUCAUGUAAUUGUACAACUCCCUGAUCCAUUUGAUACGCAUGUCUGGUCUCUUCUCGGUGUCUGACCAGCUCCUGUAAUACAGAAUCAUGAAGCUGGUUCCACUUCUAUGCGGAAACGGGAUCUCAGAUUCAGGGAUUUUAUCCAUCAUUCCACCGUAUGGAGUCCAUACCAUUAGCGCAGCUUCUUCUUCAAGAAUCUUCUUGAUCAUCCCUUGAAGACCUAAAAUAGGAAUAGGUUCUUUAGCAAAAUCGGAUUUGGCUUUGAAGUAAACUUCUCCCAUAGGUGACUUUGCUUGAAGCAAAACUUCAGGAGGAGGAGGAGUGCUUGUCGGGAAUCCAGAGUUGUAAAUAACGGAUUCGAUCCAGUUCAUUUCUAUACAAUCCUCCUGAGUUAGUCCUAGUUCUG